rnacentral:rRNA from 1 species
ACUGCUCAGUAACACGUGGAUAACCUGCCCUAGGGGAGGGGAUAACCCCGGGAAACUGGGGAUAAUACCCCAUAGGUUACAGAUGCUGGAAUGCCCUGUAACCAAAAGCUCCGGCGCCCUAGGAUGGAACUGCGGCCGAUUAGGUUGUUGUUGGGGUAACGGCCCAACAAGCCCGUAAUCGGUACGGGUUGUGGGAGCAAGAGCCCGGAGUUGGAUUCUGAGACACGAAUCCAGGCCCUACGGGGCGCAGCAGGCGCGAAACCUUUACAAUGCGGGCAACCGUGAUAAGGGAACCUCGAGUGCCUGUAAACGCAGGCUGUUCAGGUGUUUAAAACGCACCUGGAGAAAGGGCCGGGCAAGACCGGUGCCAGCCGCCGCGGUAAUACCGGCGGCUCGAGUGGUGGCCGCUUUUAUUGGGCUUAAAGCGUUCGUAGCUGGGUUGUUAUGUCUCUUGGGAAAUCUGGCGGCUUAACCGUCAGGCGUCUAAGGGAUACUGGCAAUCUUGGAACCGGGAGAUGUGAGGGGUACUUCGGGGGUAGGGGUGAAAUCCUGUAAUCCUCGAGGGACCACCUGUGGCGAAGGCGCCUCACCAGAACGGCUUCGACAGUGAGGGACGAAAGCUGGGGGAGCAAACCGGAUUAGACACCCGGGUAGUCCCAGCCGUAAACGAUGCGCGUUAGGUGUAUCGGUGACCACGAGUUACCGAGGUGCCGAAGGGAAACCGUGAAACGCGCCGCCUGGGAAGUACGGUCGCAAGGCUGAAACUUAAAGGAAUUGGCGGGGGAGCAC